rnacentral:lncRNA from 1 species
GCUCCUGCCCCCAGCCGCCCCUGUGGGACCCGCGGUCACACCCCACGCUGGAGGCCAGGUGAGCCCCAGACUCUCCAGGCUCCCUCCCCAGCUAGCCCCAUGCCCUCCGCCCGCUCUGCCCAGGGGAGUGAUCUCACGCCCGCGUCUCUCUGCAUCACAGGGUGCCCAGAUGAGCUGCAGAAGGAGCCGCGGGGUGGAUGGGGCUUGUGAGGCAGAAAUAAACUGUCAAGCCUGGUGGGUCCUCCCGUGUGUAAGGAGCAGGGCAGCGGCCACCAGGGGGCAGCUUGGCACUGGGAAAGGGCGUUCCCGGGGCCUGAUGCCCUCCUGGUCCACUCCAGAGGCUGGGCCCUGGCCCCAUCUACCCUCAGAGCUUCACAGGGAAUGGGGUCCCCAGCCUCUUCCGCCAGUUCCAGGAGUCCUGCCUCCCAAGCUGUCGGCAAACCAGACCCCUGCCUCCUCUGUCACCGCAAAAUCACCCCGGACUCAUCCCAGAACUGCGGCCCUGGUCAAAAAGAGCCCGUGAUUCCUUGGGAGCUAGUUGGGCUCCCAGGCUCGCCACGAUCUGCUCUUAUCGCUCGUUCUCCAUUCCCCGUGGGUCCUUCUGCCAGGCGAUGUGGCACCGGGAAAGCAUCUCCCAUCUCCUCACUAAUCCCAAGGGACCCAGCUCCCUCCCGUCAGGCUAACCCAGCCCCCACCCUGAGGGCAGGCCCUGUGCCAGGCCCUGGGCUGAGCAGCGGCCACUGCCCCCCCUGCAGCUCAGAGUCCAGUGGGGGAGAGAGACCUGGAGCCCAGGGUGGGCACGGCUGGGGUGGGGGAACCCAGGGCUGCAGGAGCGCACAGGGACGCCUGACCCAGCCUGGAAAAGCCAGGAAGGCUUCCAGGAGGAGACUCUGAGCCCAGACGGCCAUGGCAAGGGGCUUGAAAUGUAUCACAGACUGAGUUCCAAGCAACAGAAGCCGCCUCUUGGGACAGAAAGGGAACCUAUUGAGAGGAUUCUGGGUCACUCACAGAAACCGGGAGUAAACAGGAGAGCCAGGAUUGGAAAAGGAGCAAGAAGACUGGCAGCCAGCCAGCACCGGCCACCAGCCACAGUCACCCCACAGAACCAGUCUGAUGAGGACACGCUGGUGCCCGAUGAGCACCGGACACUGCAGUCACCCCACUGCCCGAGCCGCCCUAGAAGCAGGACGGGCUGCCCCAUUCAUUAGCUGCGCUCAUCACAAAUCCUCUCCAACUUAGCGGCGCAGGAUGGCAACGGUUGCCUUAGUGCUGAGGGUGCUGGGCGGAUCCAGGGUGGGGCUCGGCUGAGUGGUUCCACCCUGGGAGUGGGUGCCAUCAAAUGCAGCCGUCCAUGGUUCCAGGCUGCCCUGCGCAGAGUGGUUGGAGGCUGGCCAGGGUCUCUGAAGUCUCCACACUUCCAAGAGUGGGCUCUGGACCUGCUGGCGUGGGCCCCCCCAGCACAGCUGCUCCAGGGAGUGCUUGGUGGGUUUCCUGUGAGGAAGGCCGGCCUCCACCUCCAUCCCUCUGCACCCAGGAUUCAACCAACUGUGCAUCCAACACAGACGUGACUUUUGGUACUGGGGAUUGAACCCAGAGGCAUUUUACCACUGAGCCACAUUCCCAGUCUUUUUUCAUUUUGAGACAGGGUCUCAUUAAGUUGCUCAGAGCAUCGCUAAACUGCUGAGCCUGGCUUUGAACUUGCAAUCCUCCUGCCUCCGCCUCCCAAGCCUCUGGGAUGAGAGAUGUGCACCACCACACCUGGCAAGUCUGACCUCUUGAUGGGAGGUCCAGCUCUGUAGGUGACUGUCGCCAGCUGGCCAGGCUGGCGAGAUGAGCUGUAUUCAAAGGAGCUGACUAUAUCAGUAAUUAAGAAAACGGCGAAGAAACCAUGCAGCACAGGAACAUGAGUUUCUAAGGUCAAGGGCGGGACUGUUCAGUGACCCCAAGGGUCAGCUCCUCGCUGGGCAGUGCUAGAAAGAGAGCAUGUACCGGAUUCUUUUUAUUUUAGAGGGGGGACACACACAGCCUUCCAGAUCUGCAAGGAUUCAACCAAACUUGGAUCUAAAAUAUUCAGGGAAAAAAUUGCAUCUAUAGGGAGGUUGGAUGGAAUGUUCUUCACCAAAUAAGGCAGAGAAUGGGGUUUGGAAGGUGGAGUCUUGCUUUGUGAUGUCUUGUGGUCAGCAGAUUGAUUGACAUCUUGGCAAGUCACACCCAUUUCAGGUGCUGUGGGGGAUCACAGGCAGAGGGAGAGGAAAGGCACAUUUGCGUCACGAGCCCAAUCAGUGUGCAAGGCCACAUCAGUCCCCUCAUACUGCUCAAAUGCGCAGAGCUCACACACGCAGCCCAUGGAUGGCUCGAGACAGGUGACCAUGCAAAAAUGACAAAUUGGGUGCAGCCAUCUUUAGGCAGUAGCUCUUCUUUAAACUCUCGCUGUAUAAGUAACUCUUUUUGCUCAACCAAAAAAAAAAUGCAUUCAUAUGACACCAAAUAUCAACAGUUCCAUUUUCCAGAUCCAAGUCUGGAACCAUGGGGGAAGAACCAUUCCCCUCCACACACCAUGACGAGCAUCUUCUGCAAGCUGUGGACUCCUCUGAAAGCUAAUUAGGCUACACCAUAUAUAAAACAAAUGAGAAAAAGAUAAGACUUGUCUAUGAGAAGAGUCAGCCUUCCAGAUCUGCAAGGAUCCAACCAAACUUGGAUCUAAAAUAUUCAGGAAAAAAAUACAUCUAUAUGGAACACGUGCAGACUUUUUGUCAUUAUUUUCUAAACUAUAGAGUAUAUUGAUUAUAUCACACUUACAUUGUAUUAGGCAUUACAAGGCAUUGAGAGAUGAUUUAGAGUAUACGGGGGUGUGUGCAUAGGUUAUAUGCAAAUACAGUGCCAUUAUAUGUAAGGGACUUGAGCAUCCUGGGGAGGGGUCUCCCGGAAACAAUCUCCCAUGGAUAGCCAAGGACUGCUGUAUACAGUCACGUGGCACAUCACCUAAGUAUCUCUCAG